GUGCUCGCUUCAGCAGCACAUAUACUAAAAUUGGAACAAUACAGGGAAGAUUAGCAUGGCCCCUGUACAAGGAUGACACACAAAAUUAAAUCGAAAUGGACCACAGAACU
ensembl:snRNA U6 U6 spliceosomal RNA